rnacentral:misc_RNA from 1 species
UUAUAUGAAAUUGAUUUUAUUUAUAAUUUACUAAAUCGAAUAUGAAUUUUAAAUAAAAAUUUUCAUAUAGUUUAUAAAAAUUAAUGAAAUUCAUUUGAGUUCUUCGCAUGGAUUAUUCUAAAAACAAAGUAACCAAACAAACAAAAUGAAUGAAGCAGAGAAAAUCCUAAUAUUGAGGCACCAAGCGUCUGGCACAAACAGAGCAAUAAUACCUCCUUUUGGUCUUGAAGUAAAGAGGCAAGAAACAGAACCUCCACUGGCUCUCUAUAUCCAUCGCCUGAAUCAUCCCUCCACAGUAUGGACAUGCCCCAGGCGCUGCUUGUCUCCCUACCACUCUCUCAUCUUCAUCACAAACAAACACUAAGCACAUCUUGAUUUCUUGCUCAACCUAUCAAUUCUACUUCUCGACGACCGUUGGAAAAGCUCAGUUUAUUGAUUCCUAGCUCGCCCUUACUGAGAUGAGAAAAUCGAUCAGUUAAAUAUUUUUUAUUAUGGCUUCGUUGAGAGAAGGCUAUUUGGGUAUUUAUAGCAAGAGAAAGAGGGGUUUUAGCUAGGGUCUAGAGAGGUAUAGCUUAGACUGGAAGCAAACAGGAAGAAGACCCAU